rnacentral:misc_RNA from 1 species
GAUGAAGAACGCAGCGAAAUGCGAUACUUGGUGUGAAUUGCAGAAUCCCGUGAACCAUCGAGUCUUUGAACGCAAGUUGCGCCCGAAGCCGUCAGGCCGAGGGCACGCCUGCCUGGGCGUCACACGCCGUUGCCCCCCCGCGCCCCGCACCCAACUCUUUGGGAGCGACCGCGGGGCGGGCUGAUGAUGGCCUCCCGUGCGCUCCGCCGCGCGGUUGGCCCAAAUACCGAGUCCCCGGCGACGUGCGCCACGACGAUCGGUGGUUGAGAGACCUCUGUCGCAAGUCGUGCGCGCCCGUCGCGUCACGCGGGCUCGCAUAGCGCCUCGCGCCGCACCCGGUGCGGAGCUUUCAACGCGACCCCAGGUCAGGCGGGGUUACCCGCUGAAUUUAAGCAUAUCAAUAAGCGGAGGA